ACAAACCCUAACCCACUUGCCCCUCUCCCCCUCGGUUCCUCCCCUUCCCCACAGCCCGCAACCGAGCUGCCGUGGCCAUGGUCGUCGUCGUCGUCGAGGCCAUCGACUUCCCCGGCGCCUGAAAAGAUGUCCGGAGCUGUGCCAUGGACGUCUCCUCCGGCUAGUGCUACCGGUUCGAGCGGGGGAGCACUACAUCGCCGGGAUCGACGCGUCUUCCUCGCCUACGGCCGCCGUUGCACCGUGCCCGAUCUACCUCACCGGAGCUCCUCCGCCACGCCGGCCACGUCCUCCGCCUCCCCCGUGAGCUCCUCUCCCCAUUCCCCCUAUUUGCCCCUUGAUUUGGUCGUCGUAGGUCGCCGUUCCACCGUCGUGGCCGCUUGCUCCCGUUGAGGCUGCCAUGGCCUGAGCUUCGCGCUCACCCGCACGCGUAUGGCUGCCCCUAUCCAGUCCCGCGCGCCCCGCGGCUGCCCUCGUGUGCCCAGCCGCGCCCCCUGGCCGCGCCCGGCGCGCCCCUGGCCGUCCACCCGUUGCCGCUCGCGCACGCCCGUGCUGACUGCUGCCGCGCCGCUUCCGCUGUUGUUGUUGCUUUGCUGCUCCGCUUGCUGCUCUUGCCGUUGCUCACUGAUGCUCUACUGCUAGUACUGCCGCCUGCUGUCGCUGUUAGUGCUUGAUGCGCUGCUGUUCUUGCUUCCAACUGCUGCUCUUCCAUCGCUGCUGCUUAGUCCUGCUACUAUAUAUAUUGAUGCUUGCUACUGCUGCUAAUGUGCCCAUGCGUGAUGGCCAUGGCAACACAGCCGUGGCUGGAUGUGUGUCCGGCCCUCUGCAAAUUAGUUUAGGGGCUAAUUACUGCUAGUUAAAUUAGUUGCUACCCUAUGACAUGGGGUCCCAGUUAUUUAGGUUAGUUUUAUUUAAUUGUUUAGGUACAGUCUAUGACAUGUGGGUCGCACCCUCCCCCAUUUAACCAGUCAAAUUGACUUGGUCAACUCGAAUUAUUAUUAAAUCUAGAAAUUCUAGAAAAUACUUAAAACUAUGGAAAUUCAUAGAAAAUAAACCGUAACUCGGAUGAAAAUGUUUUCUACAUGAAAGUUGCUCAGAACAACGAGGCGAAUCCGAAUACACGGUCCGUUUACCUGUCAGAUGCCUCUAACUAUCUGAAUAUGAAAGAUCCUCCUCCGGUCAUCUGUCUGACACAGGUCCGGAACCGGGAAAACAUUCCCGGUUGAAUUUCCCCUUCACCUAUAUCGUGUAGCCAUACGUUAGGUCACACCCGGCACAACUUAUUGCCACGUUAUGCUUUGUGAUGCUAUGUUUGCUUUAUAUUUACUGUUUCUUCCCCCUCUUCUCUUCGGUAGACUCCGAGACCGAUGCUGCCCCUGUGAUCGACUAUGU
rnacentral:lncRNA from 1 species